rnacentral:tRNA from 2 species
GCGAGGGUGGCGGAAUUGGUAGACGCACUGGACUUAGGAUCCAGUGGACAUUAAGUCCAUGCGGGUUCGAGUCCCGCCCUUCGCACCA